rnacentral:rRNA from 1 species
GACGAACGCUGGCGGCGUGCUUAACACAUGCAAGUCGAACGGAAAGGCCCUGCUUUUGUGGGGUGCUCGAGUGGCGAACGGGUGAGUAACACGUGAGUAACCUGCCCUUGACUUUGGGAUAACUUCAGGAAACUGGGGCUAAUACCGGAUAGGAGCUCCUGCUGCAUGGUGGGGGUUGGAAAGUUUCGGCGGUUGGGGAUGGACUCGCGGCUUAUCAGCUUGUUGGGGGGGUAGUGGCUUACGAAGGCUUUGACGGGUAGCCGGCCUGAGAGGGUGACCGGCCACAUUGGGACUGAGAUAGGGCCCAGACUCCUACGGGAGGCAGCAGUGGGGAAUAUUGCAGAACGGGCGGAAGCCUGAUGCAGCAACGCCGCGAGCGGGAUGAUGGCCUUCGGGUUAUAAACCGCUUUCGCCUGAGACGAAGCGUGAGUGACGGUAAUGGGUAAAGAAGCACCGGCUAACUACGUG